rnacentral:rRNA from 1 species
ACCCGCUGAACUUAAGCAUAUCAAUAAGCGGAGGAAAAGAAACCAACAGGGAUUGCCCUAGUAACGGCGAGUGAAGCGGCAACAGCUCAAAUUUGAAAUCUGGCGUCUUUGGCGUCCGAGUUGUAAUUUGCAGAGGGCGCUUUGGCAUUGGCAGCGGUCCAAGUUCCUUGGAACAGGACGUCACAGAGGGUGAGAAUCCCGUACGUGGUCGCUAGCCUUUACCGUGUAAAGCCCCUUCGACGAGUCGAGUUGUUUGGGAAUGCAGCUCUAAAUGGGAGGUAAAUUUCUUCUAAAGCUAAAUACUGGCCAGAGACCGAUAGCGCACAAGUAGAGUGAUCGAAAGAUGAAAAGCACUUUGGAAAGAGAGUUAAAAAGCACGUGAAAUUGUUGAAAGGGAAGCGCUUGCAGCCAGACUUGCCUGUAGUUGCUCAUCCGGGUUUUUACCCGGUGCACUCUUCUAUAGGCAGGCCAGCAUCAGCUUGGGCGGUUGGAUAAAGGUCUCUGUCAUGUACCUCUCUUCGGGGAGAACUUAUAGGGGAGACGACAUGCAACCAGCCCGGACUGAGGUCCGCGCAUCUGCUAGGAUGCUGGCGUAAUGGCUGU